rnacentral:rRNA from 1 species
AGAGUUUGAUCCUGGCUCAGAUUGAACGCUGGCGGCAUGCUUAAUACAUGCAAGUCGAACGGUAACAGGUCCUUCGGGAUGCUGACGAGUGGCGGACGGGUGAGUAAUGCAUAGGAAUCUGCCCAGUAGUAGGGGACAACCUGAGGAAACUCAGGCUAAUACCGUAUAAGUCCUACGGGAGAAAGGGGGCCUCUUCUUGAAAGCUCUCGCUAUUGGAUGAGCCUAUGUCGGAUUAGCUUGUUGGUGGGGUAACGGCCUACCAAGGCGACGAUCCGUAGCUGGUCUGAGAGGACGAUCAGCCACACUGGGACUGAGACACGGCCCAGACUCCUACGGGAGGCAGCAGUAGGGAAUAUUGGACAAUGGGCGAAAGCCUGAUCCAGCAAUGCCGCGUGUGUGAAGAAGGCCUGCGGGUUGUAAAGCACUCUCAGUUGGGAAGAAAAUCUUUAGGUUAAUAUCCUAAAGUCUUGACGUUACCAACAGAAGAAGCACCGGCUAACUCUGUGCCAGCAGCCGCGGUAAUACAGAGGGUGCGAGCGUUAAUCGGAAUUACUGGGCGUAAAGCGUGCGUAGGCGGUUAAGUCAGUCGGAUGUGAAAGCCCAAGGCUUAACCUUGGAACGGCAUUCGAUACUGCUUAGCUAGAGUACAGUAGAGGGAAGC